AGCCUCACUUCAAGCUGUGGUGUUGCAUGGCUUGUGGGGAACCCGAUAGGUUCAGCUAAUGCUGCUGGGCUCUUUCAUGGACAGCUUGGCAGCUACCCUGAAGAAUGCAGCCCAUGUGUAUUAAUAGACCAGAAAACUGAUUCACUGUUCUAUGUACCUGUGAAAGGCUUUGCCUGGAGGAAGGAGAAGAGGAACUGUUGUCAAAUUCUGGACUGGAGUGAACUGUAAUGCUGAAACUGAGACUUUGGCAUGAGGACUGUGGAAUAAUGGACUAAGCGAAUGGAAGAUGAAUAAAUGGUAAACGGGCAAAAUGAAUGACUGCAAAUAGGCAGGCUCUAAUUGCAUUCACUAAGAAGUUCUAAAGAAAUUCUGGAAUAAUAUAGCUGACCUAAUAACAGUGGUGUGCAUCCUCUCAUUUGCUGUGAGAGAGAAUGGGGAAGUGGAAACACGACGACAACUUUUAUAAGAGGUGCCAGUGAAGCUGGGCCACCACAGACCAAGAAUUCCUAACUGACCGCUGUAAAGAACAGCAUCGAUGAGAACCUGGAGCAGAACUUUGGAGAAACUCAUCCUGGAUUUUGCAAAAGGAAGCUACACAUCUAUUGGUAAUCUUUCAAGAGAACAACAGCCCAGAACUCCUUGCCCAUGUUUGUGUAGUCUAAUAGUCUACCUGUGUUUGGAAGAGGCUUCUCAAAGUCCUCCAGAGUGCCUUAAGAGACUCUGGUACCCCAGGGAGCAUAGAAAUGGCCUCACAUAGACAGAUAGUUUACUAGAAGACAGGAAAGAGAGGGCAGAACUGAAGAGAUAUUCACAGUACAGAGAAUAUUCAAAUGAAUCUGUGCUCAAGCUGAUGUAUCCAGUACAUCCACACAGAAUCUCCAGGAAAAAAAGAAGUUGUUUUUUUUUUUUUUUAUGAUGCCAAGAUAAUUGACGUAUUAUUAAUGUGGGCCUGGAGAAGAACUGUAAGGGAUGGCAGAGGACUUCAUAAUACUGAGCAGCUGCAUGAUGAAAUAGAAGUGUAGCUUCCCACUAAAAUGUCAGCUCUGUACUAGUGACAAAAAAAAAAGGUAAGAAGAAUAGAUGGAUUUAUCUUGAACAGGAUGCAAGCCCAUACUUACAGCUGGGAUAUUGGUGCAGCUAUGCCCUGAGUGCUGUGAGAAGUUCUCAAAGGUGGUAGAGUUAAUCUGGAUGUUUUAUAGAAUGGCUCUCGGAUGUAUGGAGCAGAUUUAAGAUGAGGAAUAACUAAUGUUACCAGAACUUUUCAGUAUAGCAGAAAAAGGAAAGAGAGAGAAAGAGAAAAAGAGAACUCUUCUAUAAAGCUGCAGCUAUUUUAGAAGGAAAAAGAGGGAUAUUUGCUAUCCUUUCCUGGAAAAAGUAACAGAAGAAAAAAAUCAGUCACGACCUAGUAAAUACAAGGUACUGCCUCUUACUCUGAGUCUGGACACAGUAUUUCUGUCUAUGGCAAGAAAUAAGUUCUGGGAAUUAUUGGUUCUUACUUACCUUGCCCUUUAUCCUCUCCUCCAUGCACCUGCUGCUGAAGGUAGGAAGCUUGGCUAUGGGCAUCUUUAUUCUAACCAAGGGAAGCUUUUUUUUUUUUCCCCUCUCUGGUUAGUCUAUUCAACAAUAGCACAGUACAGGCCUGCCAUAAGAAGAAAAAGUGAGAUGGAUAACAGAUUUAAUUGCAUUUAUACAAGUAUAAGACAAAAGAUCUCAGUCCAUCUGUAUAUGAAGCACCGUGCAAGCAGUGUCUGUUUGUAUUUAUAAUUCAAUCCACUUUCGUCUUUCACUUUGGAGUCUCAAACUCUUUACUAAACUUCAAGUAGGAUACUAAUCACUGGAAAAGGUUAAGUGCACUUUUUUUUUUUUUUUCCUAAGACAGACCAGAAACAAGCACAAAGGACACUAGUAGUGAUGUAUUUUAAUUACUCCUUCUAGUGGCAACCUUAUCCAGAAGAUGUCACCAAAACACAAGUAGUACUCGAUGGUCCUACAACAAGGAACAUAAAUUGAAGGACUUCUAAUCUGUAGAUGAACCACAAAAAAA